GGGGUUAUGGCUCAGUGGUAGAGCACUUGCCUAGCAUGCAUGAGGCAGUUGGUUCAAUCCUCAGCACCA
rnacentral:tRNA from 1 species